rnacentral:rRNA from 1 species
GUAGGUGGCAAGCGUUGUCCGGAAUUAUUGGGCGUAAAGCGCGCGCAGGCGGUCCUUUAAGGUCUGAUGUGAAAGCCCACGGGCUCAACCGUGGAGGGUCAUUGGAAACUGGGGGACUUGAGUACAGAAGAGGAAAGCGGAAUUCCAAGUGUAGCGGUGAAAUGCGUAGAGAUUUGGAGGAACACCAGUGGCGAAGGCGGCUUUCUGGUCUGUAACUGACGCUGAGGCGCGAAAGCGUGGGGAGCAAACAGGAUUAGAUACCCUGGUAGUCCACGCCGUAAACGAUGAGUGCUAAGUGUUAGGGGGUUUCCGCCCCUUAGUGCUGCAGCUAACGCAUUAAGCACUCCGCCUGGGGAGCGCGGCUGCAAAGGCUG